UGUGAUCUCAAAAGCGAAGUACCAACAUGUGAGUUAGCCGAAGACUUUCUACAUGGCGAUGAUGAACCUCAAACGGAAUCCUCCUCGAUCUCCACUAUUGUUGUUGAUGGAUGAGUAUGUCUUGAUAUGAAGAACUAUUUGUGGAUUGGACUCCAAGAACGGGCACUAGAUGGCGAUAUUUUUAUGUUGUUAGACUUUUAUUUUGUUGAACUUGAAACACUUCACUAGAUGGCGAUAUUUUUAUGUUGUUAGACUUUUAUUUUGUUGAACUUGAAACACUUCACUAGAUGGCGAUAUUUUUAUGUUGCUAGACUUUUAUUUUGUUGGACUCAACCUAUGAUUUAUGUUGAUGAAUGGGACUUAUUAUGUGAGCUUUUAAAUUUCA